UCAAGGGCUGGGUAUGCGCAUACGCGUUGUCGGAAAUGGUCCGUUUUCAGGCACGAGCCUGGCCUUCCUUUCAUUUACUCGCCAGGGCCUAGCCCGACCCGAGCAUGAGAAACGGCUGCCCGCCUGGCCCGUCGACUACGCAGCAGCGGGCUAUAAAAGCUGGUCGUCGCUAACUUACAGUGACAUAGCACAAGCUGGAGCCCGAUCCAAGCCGACAGUGUCAAACCUAAACCUAGUCCAGGCCUACGGGCAGGGCUUUCGGGAGGUGGUUGUAUAGUCAAGCAGGGGAGAAGGUGCUGCUUCUCUCAAGCUCUGAAAACUUUGCGUGGCACAAUCUGGAUGCGUUGGAACGCUCUGUACAUGAUGAUGCAUUUUCCGAGAGGCUCACAUGGCUGCGGAAUGAAAAGCCUGCAGUGCAGGAUGUCGUGGAGAAAUAUCCCACCUUGGCAACUACCAGUGGCGCAUGGGUGCAUGAAGAGUUUUCCCGCAUCACAGGGAAAAAUGCAGAGAAAGAGUUGCUCAAAUUUGUCAACACAAAGGGGGAAAAUGUGAUGGAGCUUGCACGAAAGAAGAGAAGUGCAAGUAAAGUACUUACUUUGAUAAAUGGGAAACUCUCUCAGACAACAAGCGUCGAUGAGCAAAAAUAUUGUUACUCAGUAGGCAUCAUCUAUGCACUUGCACACCUUCUGAAGGAGAACGCAUCGAAGAUGU